CGCAAUCUGACACUCCAGAUGCUCAACUUUCCGGUCGAACUCCCCCACCCGUGGGAUUGUCGCUGUGGUUUGCGCCGGCUCACGGUGAUCUGGGGCUGACUCUGCCUCAGAAAGUUGGGGCCUCCGAUCGAAACCUUCUCCCGGUAAUUCCCUCCGAGGAGAAGCUCGUUCUCCGUUGUUGGCUCUAGAAGAGCCAUGCAAGUUUUGGCUUGGGAAAACCGGGCCGUUGGGGAGACACUCCGGCGGGGCCUGAGCCCGUGGGGGGAGCGUAGGCAAAGCUUCCUCGCGCCGCAAACUCUGAACGGCGGCGGCCAGGGCCUGGACUUGCUGUACCAAGGCAUCGAACUGUUCCGGUCCUCAACUUCAUGACUGCUACUCGGGCCCUUCCUCUAGCGCCAACUGUUGCUGGAAAUUGGACCCGGGGGCAGUCUUCGGUCGAGGAGAGGGAGCGGCGAUGAGUUCUCACGGCGGGGCGGCGGUCCGUCGGCGAGCGGCGUCCUCCGUCUGGGGCGGUCGGAGAGAAGGGGCGGCAGGUCCUCG
rnacentral:lncRNA from 1 species